UGAGGAAUAUUGGUCAAUGGGCGAUGGCCUGAACCAGCCAAGUAGCGUGAAGGAUGACUGCCCUAUGGGUUGUAAACUUCUUUUAUAAAGGAAUAAAGUCGGGUAUGCAUACCCGUUUGCAUGUACUUUAUGAAUAAGGAUCGGCUAACUCCGUGCCAGCAGCCGCGGUAAUACGGAGGAUCCGAGCGUUAUCCGGAUUUAUUGGGUUUAAAGGGAGCGUAGAUGGAUGUUUAAGUCAGUUGUGAAAGUUUGCGGCUCAACCGUAAAAUUGCAGUUGAUACUGGAUGUCUUGAGUGCAGUUGAGGCAGGCGGAAUUCGUGGUGUAGCGGUGAAAUGCUUAGAUAUCACGAAGAACUCCGAUUGCGAAGGCAGCCUGCUAAGCUGCAACUGACAUUGAGGCUCGAAAGUGUGGGUAUCAAACAGGAUUAGAUACCCUGGUAGUCCACACGGUAAACGAUGAAUACUCGCUGUUUGCGAUAUACGGCAAGCGGCCAAGCGAAAGCGUUAAGUAUUCCACCUGGGGAGUACGCCGGCAACGGUGAAACUCAAAGGAAUUGACGGGGGCCCGCACAAGCGGAGGAACAUGUGGUUUAAUUCGAUGAUACGCGAGGAACCUUACCCGGGCUUAAAUUGCACUCGAAUGAUCCGGAAACGGUUCAGCUAGCAAUAGCGAGUGUGAAGGUGCUGCAUGGUUGUCGUCAGCUCGUGCCGUGAGGUGUCGGCUUAAGUGCCAUAACGAGCGCAACCCUUGUUGUCAGUUACUAACAGGUGAUGCUGAGGACUGUGACAAGACUGCCAUCGUAAGAUGUGAGGAAGGUGGGGAUGACGUCAAAUCAGCACGGCCCUUACGUCCGGGGCUACACACGUGUUACAAUGGGGGGUACAGAGGGCCGCUACCACGCGAGUGGAUGCCAAUCCCUAAAACCCCUCUCAGUUCGGACUGGAGUCUGCAACCCGACUCCACGAAGCUGGAUUCGCUAGUAAUCGCGCAUCAGCCACGGCGCGGUGAAUACGUUCCC
rnacentral:rRNA from 1 species